rnacentral:sRNA from 1 species
UCGAGAGCUCCAAGUGGGCC